rnacentral:rRNA from 1 species
UACGUAGGGUGCGAGCGUUGCCCGGAUUUAUUGGGCGUAAAAGGCUUGUAGGUGGCCACGCCAAGUCGGAUGUGAAAUCUCCCGGCUCAACUGGGAGGGGUCAUUCGAUACUGGCGGGCUCGAGGCCGGUAGGGGGAAGUGGAAUUCCCGGUGUAGUGGUGGAAUGCGUAGAUAUCGGGAGGAACACCAGUGGCGAAGGCGGCUUCCUGGACCGGUUCUGACACUGAGGAGCGAAAGCGUGGGGAGCGAUCCGG